rnacentral:tRNA from 1 species
CUAGAUAGGCAGGCUUUGAUCCUACAAAGUUUUAGUUAACAGCUAAACACCCAAACCAGCGGGCUUCUAUCCG